rnacentral:piRNA from 1 species
UAGGACUUGAAUUCCUGGUGGGAAUGAUU